GGCAGACGGUUGUGUAACGCGUGGGAAUCUACCCAACUCUACGGAAUAACGCAGGGAAACUUGUGCUAAUACCGUAUACGUCCUCCGGGAGAAAGAUUUAUCGGAGUUGGAUGUGCCCGCGUUGGAUUAGCUAGUUGGUGGGGUAAUGGCCUACCAAGGCGACGAUGCAUAGCUGGUCUGAGAGGAUGAUCAGCCACACUGGGACUGAACACGGCCCAGACUCCUACGCGAGGCAGCAGUGGCAAUAUUGGACAAUGGGCGCAAGCCUGAUCCAGGCAUGCCGCGUGAGUGAUGAAGGCCCUAGGGUUGUAAAGCUCUUUCACCGGUGAAGAUAAUGUCGGUAACCGGAGAAGAAGCCCCGGCUAACUUCGUGCCAGCAGCCGCGGUAAUACGAAGGGGGCUAGCGUUGUUCGGAAUUACUGGGCGUAAAGCGCACGUAGCCGGAUCGUUAAGUCAGGGCUGAAAUCCCGGGGCUCAUCCCCGGAACUGCCUCUGAUACUGGCGAUCUCGAGUUCGGGAGAGGUGAGUGGAAUUCCGAGUGUAGAGGUGAAAUUCGUAGAUAUUCGGAGGAACACCAGUGGCGAAGGCGGCUCA
rnacentral:rRNA from 1 species